rnacentral:rRNA from 1 species
GUCUUUUUGAGAAUAAUUUAAAGUCGGGCCUGCCCAAUGACUAAGUUAAAUGGCCGCGGUAUAUUAACUGUGCAAAGGUAGCAUAAUCAUUAGUUUUUUAAUUGAGAGCUGGAAUGAAGGGUUUAAUGAAAAAAGUUCUGUCUUUAAUUAAAUUUAUUAGAAAUUUAUUUUUAAGUAAAAAAGCUUAAAUUUUUACCAAAGACGAGAAGACCCUAUAGAGUUUUAUAUCUUGAAAGUUUAUUUUAUUUAGUAUUUUUAAAUUAGACUUUAGGGGUAUUUGAUUGGGGUGAUUAAAAAAUUGAAAAAACUUUUUUUUUAAAAAAUAAACAUUUAUUUAUGACUAUAUGAUCCUUUUUUUAGAUUAAAAGACUAAAUUACCUUAGGGAUAACAGCGUGAUUUUUCUUAGAGUUCUUAUCAAAAGAAAAGAUUGCGACCUCGAUGUUGGAUUAAAAUAAAUUAUUGGUGCAGAAGCUAAUAUGGUGGGUCUGUUCGACCCUUAAAAUUUUACAUGAUCUGAGUUUAGACCGGUUUAAG